CUCACCUCAAACAGAGGGAGCCGGCUCCGGUCUCGGCCAGCCCAGAGAGGGCCUCCCAUAGUGCAGCGGCGGGCUGAAGGUCUCCUCAAGCGCUGCCAGAGUGGGCGUCGAGGCUGAGGAGACACCGAGAGCGAGUGAGGGCUGCAAGCAUGCUGUCACCUCUCAGUAAUUUGAGAAAAUUUCUGUUUUCUAUGGAAAGUUGCAGUCAUAUGAAGAAUAAAGAAGUAACAUACCACACAAAAACAAAGCCAAAAUAACCAGAAGAGCUCCCAGCAGGGUUAUGUUGUAGAAUCCUCAUCCCGUGUGUCUCUUUCCAAGUGCCACAGUGGUUGUAACCUGCCGGGAGGGCUUUUCCUCCCUUAAGCUUCUUUGGUAAACAAAAGAGUUGAAAUAAAAGCUGCUGAAUGAAAAUAAAUAAAGGUUUAUGGCUAGAG
rnacentral:lncRNA from 10 species